rnacentral:rRNA from 1 species
CAGCCGCCGCGGUAAUGCGUAGGUGGCAAGCGUUGUCCGGAAUUAUUGGGCGUAAAGGGCUCGCAGGCGGUUUCUUAAGUCUGAUGUGAAAGCCCCCGGCUCAACCGGGGAGGGUCACUGGAAACUGGGAAACUUGAGUGCAGAAGAGGAGAGUGGAAUUCCACGUGUAGCGGUGAAAUGCGUAGAGAUGUGGAGGAACACCAGUGGCGAAGGCGACUCUCCGGUCUGUAACUGACGCUGAGGAGCGAAAGCGUGGGGAGCGAACAGGAUUAGAUACCCCCGUAGUCCCUGUCUCUUAUAC